UGAGUAACAGCUCAGUGGUAGAGCGCCUGCCUAACAUACAUGAGGUCCUGGGUUCAAUCCCCAGUACCUCCA
rnacentral:tRNA from 1 species